GACAGAGGGUGCAAACGUUGCUCGGAAUCACUGGGCGUAAAGGGCGUGUAGGCGGGAAUGUCAGUCGGGCGUGAAAUCCCUAGGCUCAACCUAGGAACUGCACUCGAAACUGCGUUUCUUGAGUAUCGGAGAGGAAAGCGGAAUACCUGGUGUAGAGGUGAAAUUCGUAGAUAUCAGGUGGGACACCAGUGGCGAAGGCGGCUUUCUGGACGAUAACUGACGCUGAGACGCGAAAGCGUGGGGAGCAAACAGG
rnacentral:rRNA from 1 species